AACGAACGCUGGCGGCAUGCCUAACACAUGCAAGUCGAACGCGUGUAGCAAUACACGAGUGGCGGACGGGUGAGUAACGCGUGGGAACCUGCCCAAUGGUAGGGAAUAACUGCGGGAAACUGCAGCUAAUACCCUAUGCUCCCUACGGGGGAAAGAUUUAUCGCCAUUGGAGGGGCCCGCGUCGGAUUAGCUAGUUGGCGGGGUAAUGGCCCACCAAGGCUACGAUCCGUAGCNGGUCUGAGAGGAUGAUCAGCCACACUGGGACUGAGAUACGGCCCAGACUCCUACGGGAGGCAGCAGUGGGGAAUAUUGGACAAUGGGGGAAACCCUGAUCCAGCAAUGCCGCGUGAAUGAUGAAGGCCUUGGUUG
rnacentral:rRNA from 1 species